rnacentral:misc_RNA from 1 species
AAUUAAUGGCAAAGAAUUCAUUUUUAUUACACAUUUUGUUGUUUUUUGUUCUUAUUUUGAGUUUAUGUGAUGGGAUUUUAUCACAAUAUGAGUUGGAGGAACUUACAUGGUUAGAUGAUAAAGAUGAUGAAAUUUCAAUGUUUCAUAGCCAACAUUCUUCUAUGAGGAGAUGUGAUUUUACUUCUGGGAAAUGGGUUUUUGAUCAAAGUUAUCCUCUAUAUGAUUCAACUUGUCCUUAUCUUAGUACUGCUGUUACUUGUACCAAAAAUGGUAGACCUGAUUCUGAUUAUGAAAAAUGGAGGUGGAAACCUCAUGGUUGUGAAAUUCCAAGGUUUAAUGCAUUGGAAUUUCUUGGAAG